GAUGAACGCUAGCGGCAGGCCUAACACAUGCAAGUCGAGGGAGAAGCCCUUCGGGGCAGAAACCGGCGCACGGGUGCGUAACGCGUAUGCAACCUACCUUUCACAGGGGGAUAGCCCGAAGAAAUUUGGAUUAAUACCCCAUAAUAUUAUUGGAUGGCAUCAUUUGAUAAUUAAAAUUACGAUGGUGAAAGAUGGGCAUGCGUCCUAUUAGCUAGUUGGAGUGGUAACGGCACCCCAAGGCUACGAUAGGUAGGGGUCCUGAGAGGGAGAUCCCCCACACUGGUACUGAGACAGGGACCAGACUCCUACGGGAGGCAGCAGUGAGGAAUAUUGGUCAAUGGUCGGAAGACUGAACCAGCCAUGCCGCGUGCAGGAAGAAUGCCUUACGGGCUGUAAACUGCUUUUAUAUGGGAAGAAUAAGGAGUACGCGUACUUUGAUGA
rnacentral:rRNA from 1 species